rnacentral:rRNA from 1 species
GAUGAACGCUGGCGGCGUGCUUAACACAUGCAAGUCGAACGAGAAGUGAAGACGGAAACCUUCGGGCGGAAGGCUUUAUUUCGAGUGGCGGACGGGUGAGUAACGCGUGGGUAACCUGCCUCAUACAGGGGGAUAACAGUUGUAAACGACUGUUAAUACCGCAUAAGACCACAGCACCGCAUGGUGCGGGGGUAAAAACUCCGGUGGUAUGAGAUGGACCCGCGUUCGAUUAGCCAGUUGGCGGGGUAACGGCCCACCGAAGCGACGAUCGAUAGCCGAUCUGAGAGGAUGACCGGCCACAUUGGGACUGAGACACGGCCCAAACUCCUACGGGGAGCAGCAGUGGGGAAUAUUGCACGAUGGGGGAAACCCUGAUGCAGCGACGCCGCGUGAGUGAAGAAGUAUUUCGGUAUGUAAAGCUCUAUCAGCAGGGAAGAAAAUGACGGUACCUGAGUAAGAAGCCCCGGCUAACUACGUG